ACUGCGCAUAGCUCACUUUCUUGAGCAACCCUGUGUCCCCGCACCCCGCUCCUCUUCUUUCGGGUUCUAGGCAGCCGUGGGCGCUGCGACCCUUCUCUCACUGUCAGAGGGGCGGGAGCUCUCGGCCUGCGCCGCCUCCGCUGCCUGCUUGGUCGCGGGCUUGCCGGGAAUGGUGACAGCCCGGGCCCCCUCUUGGCCAAAGAAGUCCUCGAAAGCGUUCGGCGCACGGGCUUUGUCCAGCUUUUUAAACCGUAACAAGGACCGGGGCCGGGCGCGGUGGCUCACGCCUGUAAUCCCAGCAUUUUGGGAAGUCGAGGCGGACGGAUUACUUGAGGUCAUGAGUUCGAGACCAGCCUGGCCAACACGCAAAGAUAUCCAGACGCUGUAUGCAGGAAGAACUGAAUUUCAGAGGACACCGUUUGAUCUUCAACACCUGGCAGUUUACAAAACAGGAGUCCCAGCUGAGAACUCAAACUGGUAGAAGGAAGAUUAUUUUUCCUUCUCUAUAGGUGCUUGGAGGUAACGAGGGGAAAGGAGUUGAAAGGAAGGUGACAUUUCAGGUGGGCACCUGGGAUGGAGGCAAGGAAUCACGAAGUGGCGUCUCCUCGGAAGGGGCAGCCUGAUGUCUUUAACCACUGAACUGUGGUUUCCAACUGGAUGCGCUUUGGGUUCAGGGCUAAGACACGCGUAGGCGGUGCAGACAGUUCAAUUCGUGGGCGGCUUUUUCUCUCCCCUGCGCGGUUUUGCAGAACUGAGGAUUCACGUUUGCCACGCAGUCUCUAAAUCCUCCUCCCAGCCCUCGCCGGAUUUCUGCAUCGGAAUUGGAUUGGAUCACACACAAAAGAAGAGCCCAGGAACUCGUUCACCACCUUGCACCUUGCCUGUUAGUUCACGGCAUAAUGGUAACAGAGUCUUCAUUAAUGGAAGCAACGUUACUACCGUGAGCCCGGAUAGCUCAGUCGGUAGAGCAUCAGACUUUUAAUCUGAGGGUCCAGGGUUCAAGUCCCUGUUCGGGCGGUAUCUUUUUUUUCCUCAUUAAAAGAGUAAGAACCAA
rnacentral:tRNA from 1 species